UAGAGUAUAAAGGGAUAAGCCAGCUUAACUGCAAGGCAUUCAAGGCAAGCGGAGACGAAAGUCGGUCGUAGUGAUCCGGUGGAUCUGUGUGGAAGGGCCAGCGCUCAAAGGAUAAAAGGUGCCCCGGGGAUAGCAGGCUGAUCGCCCCCAAGAGCGCACAUCGACGGGGAGGUAUGGCUCCUCGUUGUCGGCUCGUCGCAUCCUGGGGCUGGAGCAGGUCCGAAGGGUAUGGCGGUUCGCCAUUUAAAGC
rnacentral:rRNA from 1 species